AACGCACCUUGCACCCCUUGGUAUUCCGAGGGGUACACCUGUUUGAGUGUCGUGAAUUUCUCCACCCCUCUUGGCUUUGUUGUCAAGUUUGUGGGCUGGGAUUUGGGGGUUAUUUUGCGGACCUUUUCCGAGUUCCGCUCCCCUUGAAUGCAUUAGUGGAUGCCUUCUGUGGGCCUUGGUAUUGAUAAUUGUCUAUGCCUGGCUUUCUGAAUGGUCUUGUCUGCUUAGAACUGUCUUUAAGAGACGACUGUCAUUGAAACUUGACCUCAAAUCAGGUGGGACUACCCGCUGAACUUAA
rnacentral:misc_RNA from 1 species